rnacentral:rRNA from 1 species
AAAGAUAGAUAGAAAGACACGAAGGGUGACGAGUUAAUUAAUUAAAUAUAUUAGUAUGGUUAGUUAUAUGUUGCAAUAUAUAACGAUUAUAAUUAAUUAGGGGUGAUAGGCUUCACAAGUUUCCCAAUAUCUUGAUUUUUAGGAAAACUAUAUAGUAGUACGUCAACUUUAAAAUGGUGAGGUUUUAAAGUCUUACUAACAUAGUUAUAUAUUGUGUAAAUUAUUUACCAAUAAUUACUUAUUGAAAAUAUUAUUUAUUACUUGUGUGUUGUAUAAUUUACUAAAAUGCGCCACACAACGGCUGCAGCAUAAUUACUGUUAACAUUAGUAUUACUCUAAAAUUAUAGAAGGAACUCGGCAAAUUGUUUCUUAUCUGUUUAUCAAAAACAUAGCUAAAUGACAUCUAUAUUUAGUACCGUCUGCUCAAUGAUUUAAUUAAAUAGCCGCAGUACCUUGACUGUGCUAAGGUAGCAUAAUCAUUUGGCUUAUAAUUGAAGUCUGGCAUGAAAGAAUUAAUAGGAAACGACUGUCUCCUUUAAGUGUGUAAAAAUUAAUAAGUAAGUGAAAAUACUUAUAAUAACAUAAUAGACGAGAAGACCCUAGAAAUUUUUUGCAAACAGCUAUUUUAGCUAUAACAUUUUGUUGGGGCGACAGAAUAACAGUUAACUUAUUUUAGGUGUAAGAAUUAUAUUGUAAGAAAAAAUAAAUUACUCUAGGGAUAACAGCAUAAUGUAUAAAAGUUUGUGACCUCGAUGUUGGACUAGGAUUCUUAUUAACCAGAAGUUUUUAAGGUUGGCUCUGUUCGAGCUUCGUUUCCUACAUGAUCUGAGUUCAGACCGGC